GGGCGAGUGGUGGAAUGGCAUACACGCUGGACUUAAAAUCCAGUGACCGCAAGGUCGUAAGGGUCCGACUCCCUUCUCGCCCA
rnacentral:tRNA from 1 species